rnacentral:rRNA from 1 species
GAUGAGCGCUGGCGGCGUGCUUAACACAUGCAAGUCGAACGGAAAGGCUCCUGCUUGCAGGGGUACUCGAGUGGCGAACGGGUGAGUAACACGUGGGUGAUCUGCCCUGCACUUCGGGAUAAGCCUGGGAAACUGGGUCUAAUACCGGAUAGGACCACAUUUUGGAUGGUGUGGUGGAAAGUUUUUCGGUGUGGGAUGAGCUCGCGGCCUAUCAGCUUGUUGGUGGGGUAAUGGCCUACCAAGGCGUCGACGGGUAGCCGGCCUGAGAGGGUGUACGGCCACAUUGGGACUGAGAUACGGCCCAGACUCCUACGGGAGGCAGCAGUGGGGAAUAUUGCACAAUGGGCGCAAGCCUGAUGCAGCGACGCCGCGUGGGGGAUGACGGCCUUCGGGUUGUAAACUCCUUUCGCUAGGGACGAAGCGCAAGUGACGGUACCUGGAGAAGAAGCACCGGCUAACUACGUG